AAGUCGUAACAAGGUUUCCGUAGGUGAACCUGCGGAAGGAUCAUUAGUGAAUUUUAGGGUGCUUUGCUUUACUGCGAAGGCCUGACCUCCACUCUCUAACCCAUUGUGCAUCAUAAAUACAACUGAACUGUGAUAGAUUGAAAGAGCUUCGUCGCUUGAUUACAUUUUUUCACAGUGAGGUUUCACCUUUCUAAACACCAAGUCAAAGAAUGUAAUACAAACCAAAACAAAAUAAAACUUUCAACAACGGAUCUCUUGGCUCUC
rnacentral:misc_RNA from 1 species